rnacentral:rRNA from 1 species
ACCAGACUCCUACGGGAGGCAGCAGUGGGGGAUAUUGCACAAUGGGGGGAACCCUGAUGCAGCGACGCCGCGUGGGUGAAGGAGCGUUUCGGCGCGUAAAGCCCUAUCGGCAGGGAAGAAGGAGGACGGUACCUGACUAAGAAGCCCCGGCUAACUACGUGCCAGCAGCCGCGGUAAUACGUAGGGGGCGAGCGUUAUCCGGAUUCACUGGGUGUAAAGGGAGCGUAGACGGCCAAGCAAGCCAGGGGUGAAAGCCCGGGGCCCAACCCCGGGACUGCCCUUGGAACUGCUUGGCUGGAGUGCGGGAGGGGCAGGCGGAAUUCCUGGUGUAGCGGUGAAAUGCGUAGAUAUCAGGAGGAACACCGGUGGCGAGGGCGGCCUGCUGGACUGCAACUGACGUUGAGGCCCGAAAGCGUGGGGAGCAAACAGGAUUAGAUACCCCUGUA